ACCUGCGGAAGGAUCAUUGUCGUGACCCUGACCAAAAUAGACUGUGAAUGUGUUAUCCGUACCGCCAUUUGAUGGGCCUUGCACCAUCUCUUGGCACAGGCCUAGUCCUCGUUCCAGAGGGCAGGGCUCCCAACAGAACCAACGGCGCCGGAUGGCGUCAAGGAACACUGAUGUUUGCUUGCUCAUGUCUGCGACUGCCUAGCUAUCGCAGCAUGUGCAGCAGUGAUGCUAUAUCUCAAUCCAUUAAGACUCUCGGCAACGGAUAUCUUGGCUCUCGCAUCGAUGAAGAACGUAGCAAAAUGCGAUACCUGGUGUGAAUUGCAGAAUCCCGUGAACCAUCGAGUUUUUGAACGCAAGUUGCGCCUGAGGCCUCCUGGUUGAGGGCACGUCUGCCUGGGCGUCAUGCCAAAAGAUGCUCCCCAGCCACCCAGUGGCGGGACGUGUCGUCUGGUCUUCCAUGCCGCGUGAAGGGUGUGGUGGGCUAAAGUAGAGGCUGCUGGCUAUGGUGCCGGUCACAGCAUUAGGUGGACGACACAUGUUGUUCUCAAGGUUGUGACUUGUAUCAGUAACGGUGAUGCUCUGGCCCCUUAGGGUCCAUGGACUAAAGCGCCAAACGCUUGGACCACGACCCCAGGUCAGUCGGGAUUACCCGCUGAAUUUAAGCAUAUCAAUAAG
rnacentral:rRNA from 1 species